AACGAACGCUGGCUGCGGGCUUAACACAUGCAAGUCGAGCGCCCCGCAAGGGGAGCGGCAGACGGGUGAGUAACGCGUGGGAAUCUACCCAUCUCUACGGAAUAACGCAUGGAAACGUGUGCUAAUACCGUAUACGUCCUUCGGGAGAAAGAUUUAUCGGAGCUGGAUGAGCCCGCGUUGGAUUAGCUAGUUGGUGGGAUAAAGGCCUACCAAGGCGACGAUCCAUAGCUGGUCUGAGAGGAUGAUCAGCCAAACUGGGACUGAGACACGGCCCAGACUCCUACGGGAGGCAGCAGUGGGGAAUAUUGGACAAUGGGCGCAAGCCUGAUCCAGCCAUGCCGCAUGAGUGAUGAAGGCCCUAGGGUUGUAAAGCUCUUUCACCGGUGAAGAUAAUGACGGUAACCGGAGAAGAAGCCCCGGCUAACUUCGUGCCAGCCGCCGCGGUAACAC
rnacentral:rRNA from 1 species